rnacentral:rRNA from 1 species
UACAGAGGGUGCGAGCGUUGUCCGGAAUCACUGGGCGUAAAGGGCGCGUAGGUGGCGGCCCAAGUCCAUGGUGAAAGCUCGAUGCUCAACAUCGAGUCGGCCACGGAUACUGGGUUGCUGGAGCACUGUAGGGGCAGAUGGAAUUCCGGGUGUAGCGGUGGAAUGCGUAGAGAUCCGGAAGAACACCGGUGGCGAAGGCAGCUCGCUGGGACGGUACUGACGCUGAGACGCGAAAGCGUGGGGAGCAAACAGG